ACGGGUGAGUAACGCGUGGGUAAUCUGCCCUCCAGACUGGGAUAACAACCCGAAAGGGUUGCUAAUACCGGAUACGAGCAUUGUCCGUAUGGGUGAUGCUGAAAGGGUGCUACGGCACUGCUGGGGGAUGAGCCCGCGUCCCAUUAGCUAGUUGGUGGGGUAAUGGCCCACCAAGGCGACGAUGGGUAGCCGGCCUAAGAGGGUGGACGGCCACACUGGGACUGAGACACGGCCCAGACUCCUACGGGAGGCAGCAGUAGGGAAUUUUCCGCAAUGGGGGAAACCCUGACGGAGCGACGCCGCGUGAGCGAAGAAGGCCUUCGGGUUGUAAAGCUCUGUCCUCAGGGACGAAAGGCCACUAGAGGGAAUGCUAGUGGAGUGACGGUACCUGAGGAGGAAGCCCCGGCUAACUACGUGCCAGCAGCCGCGGUAAAACGUAGGGGGCGAGCGUUGUCCGGAAUUACUGGGCGUAAAGGGCGUGUAGGCGGCCAUCUAAGUCAGAUGUGAAAGACCAGGGCUUAACCUUGGGGUUGCAUAUGAAACUGGAUGGCUUGAGUGCAGGAGAGGGAAGCGGAAUUCCCGGUGUAGCGGUGAGAUGCGUAGAUAUCGGGAGGAACACCAGUGGCGAAGGCGGCUUCCUGGACUGUAACUGACGCUGAGGCGCGAAAGCUGGGGGAGCGAACAGGAUUAGAUA
rnacentral:rRNA from 1 species